AUAAGUCUUUUAAUCAGCAAAAAACGCCCAGCUACCGAGCUCUGGAUCUCCCCACCGCGGCCUCCACUGCUUUUCAUACCGGCCUUUGAUGUGUUUCAAUAAACUGCGGGGCUCUCCCGCAGGGGCCACCAGAACCCCCCCCCCCCCCGCCUUGUGUAUUCAUAAUCAACCUUUCAAUAAAAGAGAUCCUAGAAGACCAGGCUUCACAACUGAGAAUGUGUGUGUGUUGGCGUGUGGUUGAAAGCCCCAAAGGUUUCUAUGCCUGAAGGUGCGGGGUUUACCUCUUUUCCUGUAAUCUUUUCGUUUACGGGAGAGCGUUUCCCUGUUUCAACCAGCGGAAUAAACACUGCAAGAUUAUGGUAGGAAGUAGCUUUCAAAAAAAAAAGUCCAAUCGAAACCGCUCCUCAGAUAUGCCUUAUCUGAAUGUCAUAUAUAAAAUACAGCCUACUCUGAAUAGCUUUUGGCAGGAGUGUAUUUCAAGAUAUCUGACACAUAAGGCUGGUAUUUCAACCAUAAAUGUCUGCUGAUGUUGUUUGCCCACGACACUUCACAUCCGCUGAUAUUGUGAAUCUUGUUCACUGAAUCAGUUAAGUGCUAGUUUUCAUCAUCUCUGAUAAAGCCUAUAAAAUAUAUACUACGCUACAUUUAUUUUACUGUCCUUUUUCAGAUUACAGCGAUUGGGGGAAUGCAUAGAGGGAAGCGAAAGAAUAGAGUUGGUCACACAGUAAAACUGUGAAAGUUCUAUAGAAAGUGUCUCAGCAGACCUAAAUUACCCAAAUCUGCAAACACUGAAACCGCACUAUUCUCAAUAAAUACCCUCACACAACAUUCCUUGGAAGCUUUCAUUAGUUAUACUGCUAAGACGAUUAGUAUUUUAAAAUUGGCUUCAUAUACUUACUAGGUGUAGCUCCCUUUGCAACGUAUUCUCAUACAAAGGUUCGUAAGAUAUAUUACAAAAAGUCCUAAUUUGUUGAUCGUUUUUGUAACACGUUUCAAUUUCCCACUCGCUUCACAUAAAAUAUUUUUAGUUUAGGUGACAAAACUAGUCAGGUUCAGGGGGGAAAUUGUGGUUUGUGUAAAAAUAACCACGAAAGUGUGCUGUCAAGUAAGUGCGGAAGUUGGGUGACAAAAAAAAAAAUCAAUGUAUUGAUCACACGCAGCCGUCUCCUGGACAGAAUUGCAAUGAAUCACUCAUAUUCAUUUCCCAGAGGGUGAGCUCUGUAGCUGUGGUUCUGAGUGUAGGUUCAGGGAGCAGGUCUGUAUCAGUCUGUGUCAAGCUGCACCUUUUUCCUGUCAGCAGUCAGCCGAGAAGCUGCAGAAGCUCCAACAAAUCACAUGUGAUGAAACUAAAAGACUGAUCUGUCUUCUCCUCUGCUUUGAAUCUUUCCAUAUGUUAUAUAAUAUUUGUGUCUGUUUGAAAUAUUCAUACGCCUGGUUCACGCGUGUGUGUGUGUGUGUGUCUGCUCUCGGGACAUUAAUGAAUCUUUUAUCAGCAGCGCGGAGGUUUAAAGGAACUCCUGUGGAAUUUAUUGCUCCACAUGGGGUCAGCUCAGUCUGACUUUAUCACAUGCCACACCUGUAUAAAUCACACAUCUUUACUGUUACAGCAUGAUUACACGCACGCACCUACACACACACACACACACACACACACACACACACACACACACACACACACACACAGGCUGUCUGAACUUACCACAGCUGAGCCUGAGAAUGACGCUAAGGUAACAGACAGCUAACAGCCUCGUUGCUCAUGUCAGUGCGAAAGCUUUCCAUGCACUUUCACAAGCAAAUAGUGUGUGAGUUGUCAUCACCUUUACGUGUAUCUGCCAUCUGCUUAAUAAUCAUGCCGGGGUUCCAGCCUGCAGCACGUUGUGUCACCGUUUAUCUUCUUUUUUGUUUGCUGACGCUGAAGUUGGUUGCAGUGUCAGCAUGUGAACGUCACCCGUUCAACAGGUGAGGAAGUGCUGAUUUGGCCUCUGAACUAAAGUAAUAAUGUCAGCUUUAUUUUCGAAUGUAAAACUGGCACGGUGCCCCCACAAUGCAGCCCACGUGUCACGUGGAAAAUAUCCGUGCUGUUUGACAGCGCAAUCCGGGGGAAAUAACUGUCACCUCCCACCCACAAACACACACACACACUGAAAUAAGGCAUUAGCACGUUACACAACGCGCUGCCAUGGUAAUGAGACAACCCAUAAUCACUGCGUGAUUGUGUCUUUGGGUGAGUCACUCGAUGGUAAUCUUCGUGUCCUCUAUGUGCUUGUUUCUCUUACUUCAGCUGUUGUCCUGUGGCUUUGUGUUAAGUCGGCAACGAUAUUCAUGGGAAGCAUUUGAUGAAUUUAAUGGCCAAAGUUAUUUGUUCUGUACGUGGAUACAUCACAAUGACCACAUUUCUCCCACUCAGCUCAUGGAUUUGUGUGUGUGUCACAGAGAAAAUGGCAUGGUUAUUUUGUGCCCUAUUGUUUUCUCCAGGGACCACCUGCUCCUCUCUCGCUCGCUCUCUAUUUGUUUUUUUUUCCCUCUGAUGAUUUUCCAGAAAGUAGGUCCCCACUUUCAUCCUGAGCAUCCUCCUCCUUUGCUGAGUCUGGUUUGGUCUCAGGUGCAAAGCUAGAAAUCAGAAUGUCUACUACUCCAACAUACAAACAACAAGCUGGUGUGAACAAAGACAGAAUGUGUGAUCUGUUCCUCCUUCUACCAGGAAUAGCAAACAGCUUGGUCACAGCUGAUUGAAUGACAACAUUUGCACAGAUUAUUAGUUAGAAAUCAACUUGCUGCGAGCCAUUCAAAAUAACGCUUAGAAGUUAUACAUAUGUCUACGUACUUCUUGUAUUUUGAGGCAUGAGUUAAAAUGACAGAAAAUCCUGCUCACUUACAGUGAGUGACAUUAGCAAAACAAAUAGUCACAUUAGCAUUACUUGAAAUAAAACAAAAUGGGUUGCAGUAGUUACCACGCACUGUUUGUGUAUAUCAUACAGUGAUAUGAUGCUGCUAUGAUAUGGCACAUGGAUUCCUCACGAAAUGAGUAAACUUCUUUAUCUGUGUCUUAUCUGGUCAAUGAUUGACACUUUGAAAAAAAACAUUUGAAUGUGGUAUUAGUUUAAAAGAAUAAUGGUUGUUAUAUUCAAAGCAUCCACAGUCCUCACAGGGCACUGCACCCCAUACUGCGUUAUUAUUGAAGAGGGGGGGGUUGUGUUAUCCGUUUGUUUGUGUUUAACACUUCCUGGGUGAAUCAUGGGCCUCACGCAGGGCUGGUGAUCUGUGGCGGACUGGUGUGAACUCUUCACGGAGACUCUCUCAGGCGGCUCCGUCCGUUUAUUGCGGGGGUCCGAGGUGGAGACGAGACCUUAUGGUUAUGUCUAUAAAUGGCAUUUCUGGCUCAGCUCCAAAUCUCAGCUACAGCCAAAGGCAAUGCAACACAUUGGGGAGAGCAAAUGGAUCACAUUAAACCCAUGAGUGAGGUUUGGAAGUGGAAAUUUUAAACUCCAGCUGCUGCAGUCGCCUCGUCAAUGACUGACUCUGGAAAAACAACACUGCAAGUGCACAUGUUUUUAUGAGGGAACAAAGUGGCAUUGCCAGUUUUCUGGACACCAUCUCUAUUGUGUGUUGCUCGAAACAUCUUCUUUUACCAAGUUCUGGUAAGUUUUAGACAGUUAUUGUGUCCACUAAACAUUUGUGGUCUUUCUCAAUAUAUGAUACUCCCUCACCAGCUAUGACUGUCGCCUUAGUUACAUGGAUGUGUUUAAUUUGCGUGGCCACCAUAAAAAAGGAUCCUCACUUUCUUUCUAAUGGUUUUGUUGUCAUAUUUUGUCAAGCCGGAACAUUAAGUUAAAGUCUACAUAAAACCAAUGAUUUGUUUUUUACUUUUACUUAACUUUUUUAGAGUGUGGCCUGAUACUGGGCUGCAUAAAAUUGAUGCACGCAAUAUAAAACCUUGGAAUUCAAAAUGUUUUAUUAUGAAACUUUGCAGUUGCGUUUUCACUUUAUGGGAUAUCAGCUUCACUAACUGAUGAAGUGUCAAUCAAUACAGGUGCUGUAGGGUCCAUGGUUAAUACCAGUGGUAAGAAGUCAUUUUUAAGCAAAGGUUACAUAAUGAUAGUAAUGCACAGAAACACAGUUUACCACUGAGAGUUAGCGCUUGUUACUCUGAGGUGCAUCUUGUAUUACCGAAUGAAUGACAUUUGUUAUGAAACAGGAAUUAGGACAAGAAGCUAAACUGAAUCAGGUAAAAGACCUUUGCAUAGCAUGACAGAUAUAAUAUUGACCUUACUGCAGAAAAAGGAAAAGAUGAAUGUGAAAAGUCCUUCAUCAACAUCUGCUUGUUCUCCCCACACAGCUCGUUCAUAAAAAUAGACUAAAGGAAAAGGACAAUUCUGAUCUGGUUGCCAUGGCAGCGGUAACUUGGUCAGUAGGCAAGUGUGCAGGAUGACUCAACAUUUCAUAGGGAUUGUACGUCGAUGUUUCCAUGCACUGAUGCUUAUAUUGUUAUAUGUGCAAUACAUUUGUACCCUGAAUUGAACAUCACAACACGACUGAUAUGUUUAGCACUUUUUAACAGUGAACAAACAGGGAAUGAAAAAACAUGGUGAACACAUUUUGCGUUAGUCACGUUAUGCACCAGAAGUAAUGGCCGUCAUAAUGGUUGCACAGAGUUCACAUCAAGAUGAUCAUACUGAAUGAACAGUUACUUAUCUUCAGUUGUGGUUGUUCACUAUCCCCAUAUUGCUUCUUUUGAAAUUGGACAGACAAUAUUUUAGCACACACGUUCAGCUAAUGUCUUUGCAUUUGUGGAAUGUAUAAAUAAUCUCAGUCCCGCCCAGCGCAUUAAGGUUAAUUCAUUAUGAAUCAGCAGUUGUAUUUUCUAUUCUUAAACUGUAUAAUCUAUAUGCCUGAGUGAUCAAACCAUUCCUCACCUUUAUGACCCCAGUGGAGCACAGAGCUAAACGUUUAAUCCAUAACCUUAUUUCAGACAUUGUGAGUGUAUUUAGAAAUUUGUAUCUAGCGUGCACUCGGAAAGUACAGAAGGAUUCCAGACGUUCCGCUUUUACUUUGUGUCCUGCAUUUGACGGGUGUUGCUGUUUGACAUAAUUAAAUGUCGUCCGGUAUGCAACAAUCCCCACUCACAUCGACCUCUUUCUUGUGCUUUUUAAUGUGUCAGCUCUGUUUUUGGUCUUAUCAAACGUUUGAAUUAAGCUGUUUAGUUUGUGAAUGCUAUUUUAACUUUAGUCUGCCAUUGUGUCAUAAGUUGUUAGCAUAUAGCAUAUGUUAGCAUAUAGUGUGUUUUCAGAGCACAAAACCAGCCACCAUCUUAAGCUGAGAACAGUGGGAGUGAAGAAAGGCAACAAAGUUGUGGGCUGGAAAACAAUAACAAUGUUAUGUAAAGAAGCUACAUGUUCCAUAGAGCUCAGAGGAAAUAGAGUCGGAUGAUAAUUCCCUGCAGCUUCUUACUUUAAACACCUUCACAUUAUGAUUUUCAGCAAUAGUGACAAUGAAAAUAUCGUCAUCAAGGAGGUUGAAUUCCAAAUGCUAAAGAAAUACAAAUAAAAUCUUUUUAGCUAAAUUUCAAAUUGAAUGUUGUGGAGGGGAUUUUGUUGGCAUUCGAGUGCGGAGGAAGGCUCAAGAGGGAAGUCCCAGUGGAGUUGAAUGUCACGGCUUGUCACAUGCAGUUCUACUUUUUCUGCAGUGUGAUGGACCUCAGGUGGCUCAGCACCGACGUGUUAUUGCUAUGGAGGUGUUUACACUGCGUACUCUCACAGUGGUGUUUGCUCUCGAGGACCCGGGAAGGAAAUUAGCAUGCAACGUAUGUUCAUUUGGCGUGUAAUCAAUGCACGCUCUGGAAUGAAUCAUGACUGCUUCUUCACAUUCCUGCACCUCGUCAGCCUCCAUGCAGAUAUAUUUUCCGAGUUGCUUCUUAUUCCUGAAUGAACAGAUGCUGCCAGAGACCCUCCUUGUUUUUGUCUCAUCCUGCGGGUUAGAAAUAAAAGAAAGACGCUUACGCAUGUUUGUUCCUCAAACUGAACUGUCAGCAUUUCUUCAAAGUGAGGUCAAUUAGAACAAAUUGAAUAUUAGGUGAGGCCCUUUUGGUGAUUCUGGUCUCCAGUGUUCAAACAGUACACUUUACAUGCAAGCAGCUGACCAUCCAUGCACACGGGCCCCGACAGGUCUCGUUCCUGGAGGUGCUGCUGUAAUGAAUAAAAAUGGGGGGCCAAGUUGCACCAUUUCGGUUUCUCGUCCUCUCGUCCUUUUCUUCUUCGUCUCGCCGGGCCUCUCUUUCUGUCUUUCUGCUUCUUCUGCUCCACUUUGCUUCUUCUUCCAUCUUCAUUGUUUAUCUACGUAAUCGUUCCCUCUUUCCGCCCCUGCUUUGACCUUUAUUCCACCCUCACUUGUUCUUUCACUCAGGGAGUUUAUCUCUCUCCCUUUCCCCCCCUCUCUCUCCCUCUCUCUUAAUUUAUCUCCAUCCCCUCAUCCCCCCUUCUUCAAACCAAGCGGAGAAUAGAGCGUUCUCUCAUGGAGUAGAAGCUGCAGUGGAAUACCAAAUAGAGGGCAAGACAUAGAGACAGUGAAAUGGAGAGAGAGAGAGAAAUGAUGUCACGGCUCAGACGUGAUCUGCCUGCAUAACAGUGUUACCGCCACACCUGUCGUCCGCUCAUAAUCCUCUGGUUAAUACAUCAGCCCAUUUUGUAAUUUGUUUGAUUCCUUUAUGCCUUAGAUUCCUAAAUAAUUCCCACUGUGUGGAAAAUAAGCUGAAACGGAACAUGAUAAUUAUGACGUUAUUGAUAUUUAAUUAAAACAUCUUUAAUGAAACAAACCGUCAUUGCAGGGAUUCCAAGUCUGUGUGAGAUGCUGUGAAUUCUUGUGCUCGGAUUGUGUGUAAGAGAGAGAAGUUUAGCGCGUUGGCCUGCAGCAUAACCUGUUUAUGAGAUGGCCUUGUGUGAAUGUGUCUAUGAAAUGUGAAACUGGAGACAUCAGCCAACAUUCCCCAAAGUCUCAAACUCAGAUUAGGCCUUUGUCACACAUUCCAUCUCUUCGCUAUUGCAAUCAUUUUAACAUUCUACUGCUAAUGAUUACCUGCCUGCACUGAGUCAUUUUUAUUCAUAGAGCCCAAAAUCUCAGAGCACAGAGAAUGAAUGUUUAACAAUCUGUAAAGCACCCUGAGUUAGAAGAAAAACUCCCAAAACACUUUGAAAGGAAAUUGAAUAUACAUUCAUGGAACCAGUGAUUCCUCUGUCAUGCUAAACCGACAUUCAGACAAGUCUAAAGACAUGUUUACAAUAUGGAGAAACAUAAAACCGAGCUGGCAAGGACUGAAAAACAGUCUCAACAGAUGGGAGACGGAACCAGAGGCUAAGCUGGUUACAAAUGCUGCUAAACUGGAGGUUAAACUGACCAAGCAGCAACAAAGGCUCUAACACCAAAAUCAUUUCAAAGUGAAACGGCGGAAAGAGAAACAGAGUAAAGAGAGAGAAGAGUGAAGAAUUAAAAGUGUGUCACAUGGGCGAUGUUAGAUUAGUGAGCACAUGUAAGAUUAGACCGCCACAAGAAGCAUGCACAGUGCAGCGACAUGAAGCAAUUUAGCGGAAGAGCGCGGCGACAACUGGGGCCGUUGUGAUUUCAAAAGACUACAUUUUUUAACUAUAGAUGGCUGCGCUUCAAGCCGUAAAGCAUUCGGAAAGCCAGACUAAGCUUUGCAAAGGGGGGGAUGCGAAGGAGCGGCUCAAGCAGCAGCAGUUGCGUGUGCCAUGCGUUAAUAUUCAUAUGACCCCAAGCAGAUUGGGUGUAGAGGCCCUUUUAGCAAAGUGUUUAUUAUUGUCACGGCAAAAAGAAAGAACAAAAAAAAAAAAAGAAUCCGUAAAAGAGCAGACUGCAAAGCCGCAGCAGGAGCAGCAGCUCUGGGCCAUUGUGCCUCAGCAGGUGGGUUCAAGCAAAGCUGCCCCCCCCUUACUCACCCCUCCACCCUGACUCCACACGCACGUAUACAUGUGUAUUUGCAUGGAUACUGGCUCACUUCAAACAUGCUCACAGUGUGUACGGUACAUGUGACCAGUGAACAGGUGUAAACAGUAAAGUUCAUACCUGCAGAAAGAAAACCCUUCCUUAGUUAAAAAACACAAACAACUUUGAGGAAAGCCGCCAACGCUGACUUGACACAUGACCUUAAGCCCCGCCGUCUGCCCCUAUUUCAGCCCCACAAAACCCUAACCACCACUGCUCCCCCUCCCACUCCUCCUGUCCUCGCUAAAUGACUACAUAUACUCCGGUGAUCGCCACAGCGAGAGAGAAAAAACCCCUGAGCCCAGCAACCGUCUCCUCCUCCUCCUCCUCCUCCUUUCUGCUGAGUGAUCCGGGGCCCCUCGGCUCAGCACAAAGACACGGCUGCUCGUCUGUCAACCGGAGGCGCAGGACAGAGCGAGGGCCCCCACUGACUCCCAUUCAGCUCCAGUGAAUGACGUUAUUGAAAUCACAGUCCUGCCUGUGUGCAUAUGUGCAGGCCAUAGGGCUGACACCUGUCCGCUUAGCAUGCCGGUCCGACGAAACGAGUUGGUGGGGGAGUUUACGGGGUUUUGUGUGUGUGUGUGGGGGGGAGAGGGAGGGGGCGGUUUGAGGAAUGUGUGUUGAUGCACAACCAAACCAGCUGUUUUCACUGAGGAGUUUGCACACGUAAACAAAUAAUCUAUUGUUCCACGAUGGCUGCAAAAAUCACUACGCAAACUUUUUUGAAUUAACUUCAAGCGCUUUUUUUUAUAUACAAAAUGUAUUUGAAAAGGGACCAAUAAAACAAGCACGUCAGACCGGUCCAGCAUGUGUACGGUGGUGUGUCAUUGUGUUGUACAGGUAAGUAUGAAAAUGUUCUGCAGAAUUCCAGGAUCAAUAAUAUUUAUACUUUAUUGUUGCGUGUGUGCCGACUGAAGCAGUCCUGUGGUGUAUGUACCGGUGUUUUUGGGGAGGGUCGGGAUGGAUUUAUUAAUUGUCACUUUCUUCCCUGCAAUUAGAGAAACGUCUGUCGUUUCCUCGCUGUUCAAUACCAAAGGAUUUAUGUGUGAUUAUUGUCUCUGGAUGCCGUGUGCUUAUGUGAGUAUUCGCCCAUCCUGCCAGACUUUAAAAAGGGAAUUUUGAGCAAUACUUGUGGAUAAGAAACCACCUGUUUAAAUAAAAAAACAUUCCUAAGGGGAAAAUUUCCGUUUUCAAUGCCAACCGAAUCUUCAAAGGACGCAUUAAUCAUGACACACAUCCCCUUUAUCGCCGUGUGGUCCACUGAUGAUACACUCGCCUCAUGGGGUUCACUCAGGAUCAAGGCCAAUCAAUAUGUAGUGUCUGUCUGAUAGACAUUGGUAGAACACAUCUGACUAAAGAAUUGACCAAAACAAGUCGGCUUCCCACACUUAUGCGAAGGGAAAGCUGCAUGAAGUGACGUGUGUGUACAGGUAGGUACUGUAUAUAGAUGUAUAUAAAAGGGGCCGCGGUUGAAAUGUUUUCUUCCUCCAAUUAUUCAAGCUGAAUCUGAAAUGAACCAGACAUCAGCAAAUAGGACAAAAUAAGACGUUUAAGAACCAGAAGGGACCAGCAGUCCAGGAUUAAAUUAAGAUAUGGCUUCACAGAGCGUCUCGUCGCGGGAAUUUAGUGUUGUUAUUCCGGUCAUGAAUGAUUAUAAUACACAGAAUUAGACCUGAGUCUGUGCUGCUUGGGAGUGUGCGUCAAAAUAUACCGAAGGUGAAUAUAACCUGUGAACGUGGAAUGUAGAAAGUGUUCUUUGUGUUCUUUGUGUUUCUGUUUCCAAUUUUUUCUUUUAUCUGAAGUUAUGAGGAGAAUAUGCUUUCCUGAUUUCUUUGGUGAAUUGCACAAAUAACUUAUUUAAAAUAACUUAAAGUAAAAAAGUACACAGAAACUUCGAGGAGGGGAAGAUCUUGUUUGGUUUCAGGUAAGCGAUUCAUCUAAUACAUUUGAAAAAUACCUUUAAUAACAGUAAUAUUAAAACACUCAAAAAGAGAACUUCAUCAAACAAAUGAACGCUGUCACAUGUUGUCCACGUUUAGUUUUGUUUUGAGUCAAUGUCUGGGUCGAACCUGACCACACACUGACUUUUCAUGCAUACGUUUUAAAAAUCCACAGAAGGAAGUGGGAAAAAACGGUGAUCUGAAAGCAACCAAACUACAAUAACCACAGUUUGGCUGCAGUCUGAUGCAAAAAAAAGCUCACAUUCCUCACUAUUUGAUCUCUUCCUCCCUCCCUCCCUCUUUCCAACAUGCACAGACAUGUCCCGACCGGCAGGAAGGGAAGUCCCUGCACAUGGCUGGGCAGGACGGUGCAUCCUGAAUCACAAUGCUGACCCUGUAUGUGCAAGGCACACAACAUGUGAGUUACAAGUGAUGCUGAUGGGGGAGGGAGGGCAAGACUAAUCAGGUCAAAACAGUAGCCUGAUUAGAGAGAGAGAGACAGAGAGACAGAGACACAAUGAUGGGUCAGAGGCCGGCAGAUGGACGGACAAACAGAGGUAUUUAUGAAUAUGGAUGUGUCUACAUGAAUGCGAGAUGAGGCGCGAGCUGUUGCCUGCUUGCACGUGCGCGUUUUGCACGCCUUGUGACAGGAUUCAACUGGCAGCGCAAACAGUCGCAUCGUAUCUUGUGAUAACUUUUAAUAAAACAACGCGAUGAGGUCCAGGUGUGUCUCCUGGCCCACCUGGACCUCACCUCCCCCCGAGGGAGUGGGUGGAAGGCUUGUGGCUGGAGCGUCCGCUCCCUCCGCUACUCCUCACCAACGUCCAUAUAAAUUUGCUCAUGCUUCGUUUCUUCCUUCUGGGGAAUGUUUGACCUUCGACCGUCUCCCUGCACCCACACACACUCACACACACACACACACACACACACACACACCACCUCCCUAUAUCCUGGACAGCUGUCAGCAGGGACCUGGCCAAAGAGAAAGACCCAUCUGUCGCCUUUCUUCAAAGGUCAGGGCCGGGCUGUCUGUGUCUGUGUGUGUGUGUGUGUGUGUGUGUGUGUGUGUGUGUGUGUGUGAGGAGGGGAGCUCUCUCUCACACUGUUAAUCCCCGCUGUUGUUCUCUCUCGCGCUCUCUGGCACACUUCUGAGGAAUACAGCUGCUUUAAAUGCAGACGCGCCUCGUGUCCAUGUCUGCUGUGUUCAGCGUGUGCAUGUUUGGCCUCUCUUGUUUGAAGGUGAGGGUUCCCUUGUGUGUGUGUGUGCAUCACACAUACGGCGCGUUCAUUCGUGCUGGUGCAUAUUCAGCCCUUUGUCACUCUGAUGGCUUUUUGUGCCUUUCACAUGGAGCGGCACAGGCAGAUUUAUUUAGACUCCCCUUUAUUUCGGUCAGGAGCCCUAAAUCCUUGUUGUGGUACUUUGAUCACACUAAUUACAUGCAUCAGUUAAAAGACUCCUCAUUUUUUGUUUUAUUGUAGGAUAAAUCAAUAAUUCAUUAUGGUAAUGAGAGUAAAUAUAUUAUGAGAAGCGCAGAUCUAUUUUGAAGUUGUAGGUUUCAUGUUAUUCAGGUUGAUACUACGCUGUAACUGUAAACAAAGUAAAACACGUUCUAUCAGCUUUGAAUAGUACACAGUAAACAGUACAUGUUUAUUUUCAGGCUAAAUCGAAUCGAAUCUUCUCCAGUUUGCUGUAGUAAAAUUAUUUAUAAUUUAUACUCUGCUCAUUCUUUUUAGCCCACAUUCAACCUAUUACAACUGUUAAAACUGUUGGAGCGGAUUCUAAAUAGCAAAACAAAACUGGCCUCUGUCGAAUGAAUAAAAUCAGAAAGUACGUUAGGAUAAUCAUAACAUAGGAUGUAUAUUUCUGUUUGGUUAUAUCAUGGGCAUCAUCUGUCUCCAAAUAUCUGGGGAAGUUCUGUUUCUUCAAGUGUUUUCCUUUUAGAGGGGAAAUAAAUUGGAAAUCACCUCCUUGUUUUUGCUGUUUUACAGCAUAAAUGUGCAAACAUCCCCCUGAAAUUACAAUGUAUGCAAUAAUAUAACCUCACUGUGGCAGAUUUGUAGGCAUCAAAUCUAUUCAAGGCAGCAGAUACACACUUUAAAUGUACUUGUUGUGUGAGGAAGAGCUCUCGGCAGGCCAAUAAAACAUUCUGACAGGUAUAAACUAGUUUACCUUGUGAUUUAGACCAAUACAUUAAUGUUAUAUAAAGAGAUUUAGGGAGAAAAAACAAGCCGUCCUCUGUGUCAGAAGCCAAUACGUUAGCUGUUGUUUCUCUGCCUGUUACACUUGAAUACACUUUUGGAAAUGAAGACAGUGUAGAAGCAUGGAUGCAUGUAUGGUUAGCAGUAGUUCAGUACACCAUCACACCAAUUAUUAUUAUCUCAUUGCAAAUGCAACGUGUUUCUCCCAAGGUGCAUAUAAAAUUCUCUUUUUGUCCGUCUAACCCUCAUUACAUCAACAAAAGCUGAAAAAAAAGAGGAUUACGAUUACUAGUUAAUACGUAUUUCCCCAAAAAACAGUUUGUAUAUGAUACAAACAUCUGUUAUCAUGUUACUGAAGUUCUAAACUACGUCCAUAACAACCGAUUCAUCUCUGUCCGCUCAUUGUCAACAGGUUUUCUUCAUUUCCAAUGAAACAUCAGAUCUCUACAGCGUAUGUACUUUGUUUGCUUCGUACACAUCAGCCACACACUCCUCACAAAUGCUCACCCAUGACUUCCUCGUUGGCAUUUUUCGGGCGCCAUGAAAUCAGCCGUCAUCAUCUAAUCAGCUGGUCGCCUCCAUCGAAUAGCACGGCGACACAAUUAACCUCGUUAUAAUCACCCUGUCGUCAUGCUGCUUUGUCUUUGGUACGUUUCUGCCGCUGAAUACGUCACUGGACGCAAUUCAUUUUGGACUGUGUUUCUGCAUCCAGUUACUGUUCAGACAGGACUUUUAACAUUACGUUUAGACAUGUUUGUUUUUUUAAUCACUGGGGAAUUCGUGCAAGAAUAUGAGGCAUGCGAAACGUUAAUCACUGACGCACCCAAAACCACAGCAGUGCCGUCUGUGUCCGGUUACACAGCAGACGUUGCGACAUUGGACUACUCACACUCAUGAACGACAAGGAAACUACAGCCUAAUAUUGUAUGGAGAAGAGAGUCAGUCUGUCGCCAUCCAGGUGGUCAAACAAAGACAGAAUAAUCCAUGAAAUUGUAGCAAAUCUUUUUGCACACUUUUUAAUGUUUCCACCUCUUUUUUUCUAAAUAAGAACCAUGUCAGGUUAGCCUCCUCAGCAGAUGACCCAUGAUGACCCAUGUAGAAAAUAUUGCAAUGGAGGGGUUGUCUUGUAAUCCACAAUGUGAUCCUCCAUUGGCCCUUAUCGUAAUAUGCUGCUGGUUGGCUCCUUUACUCACACAGACAUUUUCAUGUUCAUUUUUUAAUCGGCCAAGAGAGAGAAAUCCCUUUUAGGCCGAGGACUAACUGGUGCGCUACACAACCUAACCUGUGAUCCCACAAAUUGAAUACUGGCCAUUUUGAUAGGAUUAACACACACUCUCACCUUUUACUCUUGUGUUUUGGGUCUUUAGAAAGGUUCAAAACUUCAACGUGCUUCCAAAGCACAACAGGCCUGAUGACAUGUGGCGGUGAUUAAUCAUCGGCACACCGCUGAUUACGUGAUAGGGUUUCGAGAAGGAAAGGCUAAAUAUUUCCCCUGAUGCCGAGAGGUCAAGCUACAGAGGAAGGAGGUUUAAAUAUCUGCACAUGUUGUCAAGCACAUGCGAUUUAGAACCAUUCGUGAUUCAUCUGGUUCAAGUUUUACCUCAGAACAAAAGGGGGAUGAGGCCUGCGCACAAACACACACACACACACACGCACGCACACACACACACACACACGCACACGCGCGCACACACGCAUGCUUUUUACCGGAAGUGGUUUCCACAGACGCCUUAGCUGAUAAAAAAAAUAAAUGAAUGCGAUGAUGGAGGGGGAGGAAAGGGAGGGAGAGGAAAGGGAGGAAAAGAAGAGCAGUGGAAUGGGGGGGUAGCGAGGGAGACAGAGGGAAAGGAAAAGAGACAGAACGAGACAGAGACGGAUGUGAGGGAACUUGCCAGCAGGAAAGGAGAGGCAGGGGAGGGAGUGAUGCAGGCGAUUAGCCGUGGGUGGUCUCAGAAAUGCUGGGUAGUUGUCAUUGCACCUUUGGUGAAAGUGCGUGUGUGAAAGGAGGGAGAGUGGUAGUGUGUGUAUGUGUGUGUGUGUGUGUGUGUGUGUAGCAUCGUCUUCUGUGUCUGCGUCAUUACCUUAAUUAGACUGCAGAAGGGAGAUGCAAGGAAACCCCAUCUCUUUCUUCCCCCUCGCUCUCUUCCUCCCCCUCCUCCUCUUUAUCUAUUUGUCUCUUUCGUUCUAUAUCUACAUCUCUCUGUUUGAGUCUUGCAUACUCACAUAUUUCACGUCAUAGGAAGCAAUUCUUGUAAUAGGUGCGUUGUUUUACCCAGAUUGUCUUCUUCUUUUCCAGCCCCCUUUUUCUGUCAUUCUUUUUCUAUAAAAUGCACUCGUGUCAUACUGUAAGGCCUCGGCCUAAUAUGCAAAAAACACCCCGAGCUAAAUACGCAAAAACAUGAGUACAUUGAUCGGCUGGGAUUUUACAGUCUGCUGUAAACACGAGUAGGAAGUCACCAGCAGCGCUGCUGCGGUCGCAUUUAGCAAACUUACAAGCCGUGUGCGUGUUUGUGUGUCAGUCUAUUGAACGUCACUAUAAAACACGUGUCAUUCAAGUAUUGCCCCUGUAAAAACUCGGGUGAAGCCCGACCUUUGACACCCUCUUUAGCAAUUAUUACCAUAUUACAGUCAAGGCUUGUCAACAGACAAGCUGAUCUUUACUGUGAACGGAUGUUUACUCAAAAUGUUGACUGAAGUUGCUAAACGGUGUUUUUGUCGUUGCCACCUAUCUGAACACACUGAGGUUAGAGGCUAUAGAACUAAAUGAAUAAAAUGCAGAACUUCCCAUUCAGCUACUGUGACACCCUCUCUGGGGACCCCUCACUGAAUCACAUGAAUCACCUUUAUGUCACCUGAUUGUGCGCCAGGUUGUGAGCCUUUUGGCAAGUGCAGACCAGCUUUUACUGUGCUGUACCCCAAUGAUAUAGUGCAACGUUGAGCUGUGACAUCUCCUCCCUCUGCAGAGCUCCGGGCUUCAAAACAACAGUCCACAAACCAAACAGACAGAGUCCACUUCUCAUUUAGCCUCAUGGCCAUGAGAAGCUAAACCAGAGGAAAAUAUAUUAGUGUGUUUGAAUCUUUACAAUUGCUUUGAGUUCAUUCUAACAUUAAGUUAAACAUAACGCAUGACCUUUAAAUAUGUUAUAAGGAAACUAAUACUCACAGCGAUAGCACGUUGCCUCAAACCACGGAGCUAGCACAAAACAACAGUUAUUAAAAGCCUGACCUCGAAAAACAUGAAUGUCAAGAAUACAUGUCUUUGAUACCUGGGAGCAGAUCAACAAGCUGAAUGUACCGACAUUAAAUGCAAUACCUUGUGAGGUUUUGAUGGUAAGUAUGUUGAUGAACUACCAUCCAUUUAAAAUCUUACUUUUGAUCACCUGACCAAUGUACUAAAUCCACUCUCCUUUUAGAUUAGUUUGUCUCUCCACUAAUUUAGGACUGAAAUGUUCUUAAUGCUCCUCAGUGUUUACUGGCUUGAUACAAACGUCUUCUGUCAGCUGUUUGGUGCCUGAGCGGUGGUUCGUCAGAGAGGUUUCUCUGGGCAACGGUGGCCUGCUGCGUCUAGAAUUAAAAAGAAGGGGUAAUAGGAAACCAUAAAUAUAUUUAUUUAUGAAUUCAUAGCUAAUCAACUCUUUUCAAACAUCUUCAAAACUUGUCUAACCUAAAGUAAGAAGACAAACGUGGGGAGAGAUUGCAAAAGUGAUAGAAGUGUAUGACCUUCCAACAUCCUGUCACCUCACCGCAGCAGCAGCGCAGUUCGCCUCCAACAAACAGAACCUUUUUGCUGUGGAAAAUGUCUGACGUAACCACAGCGCUUCGUCGCUCAUCAAAUCCUCUUUUGUAGUGUUGGUUUGUGGAGUGGUGACCUUUUAAAUAGUGAUAUUCAACUAUUUUGUUAUCACCUCUUGCUUCAAAACCUCUCUCACUUUCAGUUGUUCUCACUGUUUGAGAAAACAUUUCUGUCUGCGGUCGUAACACACUGGGCCAUUGGUUCAAAACUGGCUAAAUAAAUCCACGGUGUGACACGUCAUCCGGCCCACCGCACGGUUCUUCAUCACCAUCCGCGUUUCUCACAGCGCGUAAUGGAAUGUGUUGAUGAAAUGGACUUUGUCGAAGCUGAGGCACUGGAAUUUACAGUGGGUUUGAAAAACAUGGUUCUCUCUUUCUUUCUCUCUGAGGAGACGGACAGGGAAAUAAAAGCUGAGGUUGCAAGCAGUCUGUUUGGUUUAGUGUGGCUGGGGUGUUGCCGGGCAAAUGAGAGACCAGCAGAUGGCUGGAAUGUGGAAAAUGCCAAAGAUCAGAGGCCAAAAGAGAUACAAUGAGAUUAGAAGGGAAACAGAGAGCAGCCGCCCAAAACUGAGCUGUAAACAUCCCUGUGAGCUUUGAGGUGUGUUUGUUAGAAAAGUAGAUUUUAAAAGAUGUUGCGUGCGGAGCAGUUUAGUUUUGUUGAUUUGAUUCUUUGAUGGAUUUCACAGUAGGAAGUAACGUUUGUUUUUUCGGAACGAUACUGUAAAAUGCAAGUGUGGUUGAGUAUACACAGACAUGUAUGGUAUAUUAUUGAUAAACAAGUGUAUUCCAAUCGAUUCCAACAGUCUCUGAGACAUACAAAAUACAUUGAAUGGUAUUUUAAAAAGGGAAACUAAUCUUUCAUCUGGCAGUAAUCACAGAGACUCAAAACAAGAGUCCUGCACGGCCUACAAAUCCACCCCAACUUUAUUUCAUUAAAUAUCUUAUAAUGACACUCACAUACUAAGUCCUUUAAACCAAGAGUUGCAAAGAGUAGGAACAUUUUACUCUGCUAUUAUAUUCCUAAUAUAUUUUUGUACACACACAAGGUGCAUGUCUGCAUAUGGAGGGACACAUGUGCUGUAUCACCAUUGUUUUUUGCACAAGUGUUUUUCAAAAUAUGGAGAGAUUGAAGCAUUACAGCUCAUGUGCACUGAAGAGACAACGCUUGCAGUACAGAACGGAUGGAGAUGCCUUUACAUUACAUUACAUUACAUGUCAUUUAGCUGACGCGUUUGUCCAAAGCGAAUUACAAUAAGUGCAUUCAACCAUAGGGUACAAACUCAGAAGAACCAGAAACAAGAAAGUGCAUUUCCCUCAAAUAAGCCAAUUUACAAUUUGCUAUAGAUGAGUUGAGCUAUAAGUACAAUUUAAGUGCUACAAUUGGUUAGUCUUUUAGUCGAGGUAGAGUCUGAAGUGGUGUGUCUUUAGUUUACGGCGGAAGAUGUGAAGGCUCUCUGCGGUCCUGGUGUCUUCAGAGAGCUCGUUCCACCAUUUCGGAGCAAGGACAGCAAAGAGUCGUGAUCUAGUCGAGUGUUUUGCUCUCAGUGAGGGAGGGACGAGCAGUUUAGCAAAUGCAGAGCGGAGAGUACGGGUCAGGAUGUAGGGUUUGACCAUGUCCUGGAUGUAAGCUGGACCCCAUCCAUUCACAGCAUGGUACGUGAGCACCAGUGUUUAGAACUGGAUGCGGGCAGCCACCGGUACGAGUGAAGAGAGCGGAGGAAUGGAGUAGUGUGGGAGAAUUUCGGAAGGUUAAAGACCAGUCGAGCUGCUGCAUUCUGGAUGAGCUGCAAAGGUCGAAUGGCGGUGGCAGGGAGACCUGCAGGAGGGAGUUGCAGUAGUCCAGGCGGGAGAUGACAAGAGCCUGAAGGACCUGAGCAGCCUUCUGAGUGAGAAGAGGACGUAUUCUCCUGAUGUUGUAGAGCGUGUAUCUACAGGAUCGUGUUGUCGCAGUGAUGUUGGGAGUCAGGGAGAGUUGGCUGUCGAGUGUGACGCCGAGGUUCCUAGCGGUUAAAGUGGCCGUUAGCACGGAGUUGCCAAAGUUGACCGUCAGGUCCUGGGUCUUUCCCGGAAAGAGAAGUAGUUCAGUCUUGUCUGGGUUGAUUUUCAGAUGGUGAGCGGACAUCCACUGAGAGAUGUCAGUCAGACAGGCAGAGAUCUGUGCCGCCACCUGAGUGUCUGAGUGAGGGAAGGAGAGAAUUAGUUGGGUGUCAUCUGCAUAGCUGUGGUAGGAGAAGCCAUGUGAGCGAAUGACAGCUCCGAGAGAGUUGGUGUAAACCGAGAAGAGGAGGGGACCCAGGACGGAACCCUGAGAAACUCCAGUAGUAAGAGGACAAGGUUCCCAUACACAGAUCCUCGCCAGGUUACCCGGUAGGUGCGGCCAUCGAGGUAGGACGAGAGAAGGGAGAGAGCAGAGCCUGAGACACCAAAUUCCUGAAGGGAGGAAAUAAGGGUCUGUGGUUGAUUGUGUCAAAUGCAGCAGAGAGGUCCAGAAGGAUGAGGACAGGAGAGAGAGGCGGCUCUAGCAGUGUGGAGUUUCUUUGUGACAGCAAGGAGAGCAGUCUCUGUGGAAUGGCCUUGAAGCCUGACUGGUGGGGGUCAAGGAGGUUGUCACGGUGGAGAUAGGAGGAGAGUUGGUUAAAGAUCGCACGUUCAAGGGUUUUGGACAAAAAGGGAGGAAGAGAGACCGGUCUGUAGUUGUUUUCUUCAGAAGGGUUGAGGGUAGGUUUCUUCAGGAGAGGAUUAACUCUUGCCUCCUUCAGAGAAUUGGGAAAACAGCUACGUUACCUUUACAGCUAUGUUACCUUGGAUUAGCUAACAGCAGAGCACAACAGGCACACUCACGUCUUACAUGUCACAGUCUCAUGUAAUUAUGUCCAAUCAUCAUUCACUGUAUCUGCACAGUACACUAUCACAAUGAAGAAUGAUAAGAUAUUUGAUCAAGUACCUUAUAUAAUUGAAACAAAAGGAAUUUUGAAAAAAACAUGAAUUAAAUUAUGAUACUAACUGUCUCUUUGCAACAACGUUUCAAAUACAUCCUACAAACUUGGGGUAUCACGUUUCUAGGCCAUGUUUUUAUGAUUCUCACCGGCGGCCCACAGGGCGGCCAUCAUUCCUCCCCUGACGCGCUGCAGGAAGAGAUAGAAAAUUGUAGAGAGUUAAAUGUAAACAAAGAAGGGGGAUGAGCUUGGGCAGCUCUGUGGUUUGAGGCAACGUGCUCCUGCUGUUUGUAUUGGUUUCCCAAUAAAAUAUUUCAAUGUUUGGAAUUAACUAAAAAGGUCAGGGUUUGUUUUCAGCAUCCACUGUAAAGAUUAAAAUACAUAACAUAGCUGUAAUGUUUUGCCAGACAUGGUGACCUUUUUUUUCUGGUUUUGCUUCUCAUGGCCGUGAGUCAUUCAUAACAAACUCAUUUGCGGUGGCAUUAAUGUGUAUGAGAAGUGGACAUAGUCUGUUUGGUUUGUGCCCUCCUUCAUGCAGCACGAUGUCAUCGGGGUACAACCCUCUUGCCAAGAGGCUCACUAUCUGGCGCACAAUCAUACAACAAAAGGAUAACAAUGAUUGAUGAGAAUGGUUUACUGUCCACAGUGAGGGUGACCCAGUAGCCGACUUUAUGGGUGAGAAUUACUGAAAUAUCUUUUAAAAAGACAAUGAACAACUGUUUUUAAUUGGAAAAAGCUCUAUUAUACUCUUCCAUCCAUCCAUUCAAGCGUACCCAAAAAGUCAGACCAAGCGCUUCCAGGAGCACAUGAGCAGAACCUCUUUGCUCGUUCCAACUGCUGAAAUGUUACAAAUCACUUGAAUAAAACCCACAUUGAAAGAGUAAAAUUCCCAAACUCCACAACAACGAGUAGGUAUGUGUCAAUCACAAGGUAGCCACACCGUGCUAUAUGGAAAUAAUUUAGGGGAAAUAUUCAAAAUGUGAAGAAAGGAGAUUCAAACAGAUGGUACAUUAUGAAACUAGUAUUUAUUGACUAAACCAAUUUUGGCAGCAACGUUUCCAUGGCAGCAUGGUCUGUCCCCAUAGCAUCUGAAAAAGGCCUGUAAUACAACUGAUAAGGGCAGAAAAUCAAAUCUGUGUAUGCUGCAUUAUAUAAUCCCAGUUUAGAGUAAAAAUAAAUCAACAUUUCCCCAGAAACAAAUGUUUUUCAACAAAGGAUUUGGCAUUAAUGUGUUCUAACACCAGAUUUUGAAACGUUUUAAUCUCACAAUAAGUGAAUAACAUACAAAAACUCUAAUGUCAUUGGACCAAAUCUGUGGCUUUUGUUAAGCACAGAUUAAACUUUUGUCUAGCAUCUACUCACACAAACAGUAUCUAUCUAUGUCAGUUACAGGACAUGCAGUGACUUCAUGGUGCUGUUGAAAGUUGUUGUUGAAAAGGUUUGAGGUUUAGCGUGUGGCCAUAAAUUGCUACUUGAAGCUAGUGAUUUCUGUCUAGAAAGAAAAGGUUAUCGGCUGAUGCUUCCUCUGUAUUUUGUGUUACCAGAGACGUAUGUGUAGCCAUUUUGUUAAUUCUGUUUCUAGACGUAGACAGACAGGCCUAGUUUUGCUAUAUUUUAUUUAUUCAGGUAAACCAUAGGUCAUAGCCUCCGAACUCAAGAGUACAAGCUUCUGUUAUAAAUUAAGAUUGGAGUAAGAAUCUGACAAUAAUAAUUAGUGAAAAUUGCCAUCGGUUCUUGCAUGAAACCUGACUGUUGUGUGUUUGUCCGCCACGCCUUCCCUAGACGAACACAAAACGUAACAGUGCAUGUUACAGAGGGGGUGAGAGAGAAAGAGUGUGUGUGUGUGCACACAUUCAAUGGGGCCGGACCUACUUUGCAUUGAACCACUAUGUUUACUGUGUAAAGAUAAUGCAAUGCAGUUUAUAUAAAAUGGAUAAAUUAACCAAUCUAACAUCUCUAAUACUGUUAUGAUGAAAGAUAAACUAAUUCUAAUCGGUGAAUUUAAAUCUAAAUAAGGAAAAAAGCAAUUUGAGGACUGAAAUAUCAAGACACAGCGGUUAACACCAAUAAGCCGUGAAAUUCUCAGAAAUUUACAGACAGCAAAGCACUGGCUUCCUGUUUGCUUUUUACUGCUGCAGUACUCCUGCAUCCUGUCGCUGCAGCCUAAACAGAUGUUCAUUUGAUGGAACUUCUUCAGACACUGUCAAUACUGUAUGCUAAUGCAGAGUCUCAAGCACGGCUAUCAAGUACUUAAUCAGCCGUGAUCCACUCACAUUUUGAAGAAGCAUUUCUACACGUUGGAUGGAAAUAAUAGUUUCAUACUAAGUGACUUCUCUCAAUUGUUAAGUGAAGACAAAUCCAACAAGUUUAAUUUAUGUCAAGAUAUUAGUUUAAUGGUUAACUGGUUCUAGGCAACUUAAAGCCUUGGAUAAUAUGCAACAUUACAGAACUCCAAAACUUAUUUUGCAACUCAUAGAUAACAGGAACAAUACGUCGUACUGUGAGCAUUAUCAUUUCUCUUUUGUGUCACAUGAUGUAAUCAAUCUGCUGUGUGACCUCAUGUAUGGUCUCGGUAUCACCCGACAUGUGCUGCAUGAUAGUAUUACUCGGCUAACGGCGGAAAAGACCAUAAUGCCACAACAAAACACACAGACACACAUACACACACACACACACACACGUUGUCCCUGUGGAAAUUCUUCACGGAGCAAUUCAAGUCGCGACUGCAAAUGAAACCUUUGUGAGUAAAUACUGCUCAGAGGGACCACAGUGAUGGUGGCGUCUGCUAAACGGUUAAGCUUAACAAAGGUUGCGUUCCCCUGUAUUGUGAUACAUUCAAGCUCUACACAGUAAAAAUGAAUUAAAAUCAGAAAACUAGUGUGAAGGUCGCCAUGUUGGCAAUAGUGGCGGCGUCUCCCUUCAGGCCUCCUCCAUUUAAAGAAAUAUAAGUACACAAACACGUUAGUGGACGAAUGGCAUUGAUGCUUUAGUCGCAGAUCCAUGAUAAUGCGACGUAGCGGAAAACAAAAUGAGUGCAAGGAAGAGAGCAAGAUGACGUUAGCUUUGGGCCGUUAGCUUUGGGCCGUUAGCGGUUGGCCGUUAGCUAUGCUGCUGACUGGCUACUAUCAAAAUAACCAUAUAAUCACUCCUUCCAGCAUAAUCUUGUAGAUCAAUGUAGUUUUUGAAACUAUUUUUUUAAUCAAAGAACAUAAAUGCAGAAACACGCAGAAACAUUUUUUUUUCAUUUCUAUAAUCUGUGAUUAUGCAUGACAACAAUGUGUAUAGUUGACAUUGACUUCGAGCAUGUUGAAAUUAUACUUUGGGACCAUUUUGCAAGAUGUCAUUCUGGCAUUAUGCUUUCAAUUAAAGUUCUCAGAGACAAAUUGACAGGACAAAUCCUUUUUCAAACAUUGGCCAAAGACGUGCCCUCGGAGCAUCUCUAAUCGUUUUUUUACAGCUGAUAGAAGAUGUAUCCCACCCAUUAGUUAUGGAUGACUCCCUGUAUUGUCUUUUUAUAGGCACAACCACUCUAUGCACUUACCUGUUACUCACGCUGUCUGUUCACCUACUGUACGCACAUCUGCCCUCUUACAUAAAAAAUGGAUCUUCAGUCACUUAGAAAUCACACAACUCUACAACCUCACUUCAUGAGUCCAUGCACCAGAAUGCCACAUGCAAACUGAGCAGAAAUGUAUAUUUGUGCCAAUGUACAAGUGCGUAUUUUGACGACCGUGAUAAAAAUCCUUGACAAAAAUGCCUUUCUUUUACCUCCUUUUGCUAUUUUUAACUGCAACCUCGGCAGCACUUAAUCUCUGGGAGUACUGAGACGAUCUCUGAGUGUGUGGAUCUCUUGCCUGCUGUAUAUCUCAGAAUAGAACAAUGCAUAACUAAAAAAUAGGACAUUGACACAGGAUGUGAAUAGAUUAAAAGCAAAGAGGAUAAGGCAUACAUGACAGACAGAAGUCCACAUAAAAGGGUCGGAAACAGUAACGCUCCACUGAUUGCAUCACCACAAUGCACAGUAAGUCUGCAGAUUUAGCUGCAGGCGUAAUCGCAUCUGGAUUUACCAAGCUGCCAUUUUACCAUAAAUAGAACUGCUGCCGUUCUUAACUUCAGGCCAUUUCAACUUGCCAAUACAGCAAAAUCCUGUUUUUGAUAUGAUAAUAAGUUGAAGCUUUGAUCACAUUUGAUCAAUAUGUAAAAAGCGUCAGGCAGACGGUCCAGAUACUUUAUUGCACACAUUUUAAUGCUUGCGUCCAAAUAAUAUGAAAGUAAUAACUCCUGAAAGCAAAACAAGGAGGGAUCGGGAUGUUUACACAAGAGAAUACCGUGACAAUCUUUUCUCCCAAUUAUGAAAGUUAAGAGCAAAUGUAGAAACUGUCCCCUCAGUAGGCUGUAUAUGCCUCUCCAGCUGCUUUAAAAAAAAUCAUGACUAAUGUAUUAGAUACUCAUUUUCAUUUAAAACAGUGUUUUUAUAUUGAAUGAUAAAGGCUUUUCUACCUGCAUUCGUUAAUCUGUAUGGUCGUCCAAUGGAAACCAGGAACUGUUAAUGAAUAUUAAUUUCCUGAGAGUGAUUAAGCAGGCAAAGCACUGUGUUAUGUAGGCCAGUUACACCAGCCACAUUCAUUAGACACUCAUUAAAAUACAUGCAGAGAAGAAGCAGAAGGCACAGGGAGAUUGUAACUGGUGAUGUAAUGGUAUCUGUAUAGAGUGCACGUUCCAGGCUGGUUGCUCCCCAGCUGAAUCAGGCCGAUCAGCCACAUCUUACAGUAGACGGUCACAGCUGUCAUUGUUUGGCCCUCUCAGGAUCGCGAUCACUGAAGCGAAUAGAACAUUUUUGAAACAAGAGCUGCACGAGGAUACGAAACAAGUCAAGUGUUGGGUUUUGUACACUAGAGUGUUGAUGGUCCCCAGUGCAUCAGUGUGUCGUCCUCGCAUCAGAACCACCUGAUAAACAGAUCCAUUACAGAUCAAUAGAGGCGGGAGUGAGACAGAGAGGAGAUAGAUUGGUGGAGUGGGGGGGGGGGGGACAGUACCUGCACUCACUGAAGACACUAAAGCAGACAGGACAUAGCUUGAACACUGCUGCUCCCUAGUGGAUGGAAAAAACAUGUCUUUCUGUAGACAGUUGUCAUUCAUCACAUUACAUUACAGGUCAUUUAGCUGACGCUUUUAUCCAAAGCGACUUACAUUACAUUUUUAACCCGUGGCUUUUUACAUUUUCGACCGGGGAGCAAUUAGGGGUUAGGUGUCUUGCUCAGGGAGACUUCAACAUGGAACAUGGAGCAGCCGGGACUCAUUCACAUUUUAAAUGACGACUAGAAGUAGAAAGCCUGAAGGAGUGAAUAAAAACAAAAAAAACAGUGUGUGUCUUUUGUUUCAAGGUAUAACAUGAUUGAAGCUCCUAACAGUUAUUUAUAAAAAACUUACUUUCUUCUUAUUUUCAUUCACAAAUUUUGUAUAUUAAUGAAAAAAUAAUGAGAUUUUAGUAUAGUGAACAAAUUGCAAUGCAUACAAAACCAAUCAGCAUUCUACAGACAACAGAAAAGAGUUCACAGAACUGACUUUGGCUUGAAGUUCAGGACUUCAGGACUUGUUUGAGGCCAAAAAGAUGAAUUAAAUUUCUGGAGGGGUGAAUAACCCAUAUGAGAUGGUUACUGUGGUAUUAGUCAUUAACGCAUUAUUUUUGUGUAUUUUUCUCGAACAAAGAGGCCAUUUAUUGUUUAAGACAUGUUAUUUGAUCAAACCAUUGGCAGUGCCUCCGCGGCCCACUCGUUGGGCCCCGUGGUUGAGAUUAGUUGCAGAAGGCACACGCUAAAAGGGCAUAAAUUAUAACCCUUGCACAGAUGAUCUGAAGAUAAACGUCUGCUAUACGGAUUUGACGCAUGACUAUUUGCACUAUGAUGAAGUGACACAACCUUGCCAAACAAACCAAUUUCCUGGCAACAGGAUGCAGAAUGAGUCACAGAGAUACUUGAGGUGUGACGGGGCCUUUUAUUCUAUCAACUUCUGCCACGUGGGACACAUGUUUUAACAAAAAACACCUCUAUGCCGGAUACACACUCAUAUUCAAUAUUUUUAUUUUAUAAUAUAUAAUAACACUAUAGGGUAGGGUGCUGUAAAUACAGACUAUGAACGCUAAUGUAGAGUAUGCACAAAUUGUUAGUUCUCCCUAAUCAUGUAAGAAAGGUAUGUUUUAGAAUCACAAACCUGAAUGCAAUGUGGUCACGGUUUAAAUAACUGUGCAACAAGUACCUGCUUUUGCGUCUAAGAACGGCUUUUGUGUGUCAUGACAUCUUUUUGCGCGUGUUUAACACGUCUUCAUGGCCCUGCUUCAUCCUGGAGUCCCGCACUUCACUCUUCUGGUCCC
ensembl:lncRNA